UACGAAGGGGGCUAGCGUUGCUCGGAAUGACUGGGCGUAAAGGGCGCGUAGGCGGUUUGUACAGUCAGGUGUGAAAUUCCCGGGCUCAACCUGGGGGCUGCACUUGAUACGUAUGGACUGGAGUGGGGAAGAGGGUCGUGGAAUUCCCAGUGAUAGAGGUGAAAUUCGUAGAUAUUGGGAAGAACACCGGUGGCGAAGGCGGCGACCUGGUCCUUGACUGACGCUGAGGCGCGAAAGCGUGGGGAGCAAACAGG
rnacentral:rRNA from 1 species